rnacentral:rRNA from 1 species
GGUUCAGGACGAACGCUGGCGGCGUGCUUAACACAUGCAAGUCGAGCGAUGAAGCUCCUUCGGGAGUGGAUUAGCGGCGGACGGGUGAGUAACACGUGGGUAACCUGCCUCAUAGAGGGGAAUAGCCUUUCGAAAGGAAGAUUAAUACCGCAUAAGAUUGUAGUACCGCAUGGUACAGCAAUUAAAGGAGUAAUCCGCUAUGAGAUGGACCCGCGUCGCAUUAGCUAGUUGGUGAGGUAACGGCUCACCAAGGCGACGAUGCGUAGCCGACCUGAGAGGGUGAUCGGCCACAUUGGGACUGAGACACGGCCCAGACUCCUACGGGAGGCAGCAGUGGGGAAUAUUGCACAAUGGGGGAAACCCUGAAUGCAGCAACGCCGCGUGAGUGAUGACGGCCUUCGGGUUGUAAAACUCUGUCUUUGGGGACGAUAAUGACGGUACCCAAGGAGGAAGCCACGGCUAACUACGUGCCAGCCGCGGC